rnacentral:misc_RNA from 1 species
GUGAGUCAUCGAAUCUUUGAACGCACCUUGUGCCCUUUUGGACAUCCAAGGGGCAUGCCUGUUUGAGUGUCUUGAAGCUCUCAAGCCAGCCUACCUUGCUGUGGGGUGGUUUGGAUAUUGGAUGCUUCUGCUGGACUUUUUUGAUAAAGGUCGGCUCAUCCAAAAUGCAUUUUGCGGCUUGGUCUGUGAACUCGGUGUGAUAAGGCAUCACUCGCCGGGUGUAACGGGCUUUGAAAAGCCGCUCUGUGGACGCAAGUGAUUUGACCUCAAAUCAGGUAGGAUUACCCGCUGAACUUAAGCAUAUCAAUAAGCGGAGGA